CUUAUGCCGGACACAAUCCGACAAGAGGACUUCUUCGUUUGUAUUAUUUUAGAUCAGAGCGUGACAUUGAACCAAAAUCUCAGCAAUGGUUGUCCGCCAUAGAUCUCUACUGAGCUCGGCCUGAGCAACUGAUCGCCGAGUUCUUUAGCAUCGCCGUGCUGCUAUUCAAAGUUUAGGACAGGUGGUUCUCAAAGAUAAUAUCAUGAAAUUCUAAUAAACUAGAUCUGGAUUCAGAAUAUUACAUGGAUCUAUUAUUGCGUAUCAGAUUUUACUGCACAAGCGUGGAAUGGGUCUGAAUAUGGUGUGAAUCAAGUACGAGUUUGUGGAGCCUUAGUGACAACCUUGUUCAGUUGGCGGAGAGUUUCGGUGCUAUUAAAAAGAAUCAAACAACUUCUUAAUUUGUUUGCAUUAUAACGUCUCAUUAUUAAUUGCAAUCGUGCGGGUAGCGGGCAUAAAACUUGCCCCCCGGAUAUGGCGGCCUGGAAACGCCAAUGACCCCACUUAAAUACUAUUCUAUCCCUGCUCCGGUGUGUAUAUUUUAAUUAUAGAGAAGGGUUACUUCUAGGGCACUUCAA
rnacentral:lncRNA from 1 species